GAUGAACGCUGGCGGCGUGCCUAAUACAUGCAAGUCGAGCGAACAGACGAGGAGCUUGCUCCCCUGACGUUAGCGGCGGACGGGUGAGUAACACGUGGAUAACCUACCUAUAAGACUGGGAUAACUUCGGGAAACCGGAGCUAAUACCAGAUAAUAUAUUGAACCGCAUGGUUCAAUAGUGAAAGACGGUUUUGCUGUCACUUAUAGAUGGAUCCGCGCCGCAUUAGCUAGUUGGUAAGGUAACGGCUUACCAAGGCAACGAUGCGUAGCCGACCUGAGAGGGUGAUCGGCCACACUGGAACUGAGACACGGUCCAGACUCCUACGGGAGGCAGCAGUAGGGAAUCUUCCGCAAUGGGCGAAAGCCUGACGGAGCAACGCCGCGUGAGUGAUGAAGGUCUUCGGAUCGUAAAACUCUGUUAUUAGGGAAGAACAAAUGUGUAAGUAACUAUGCACGUCUUGACGGUACCUAAUCAGAAAGCCACGGCUAACUACGUG
rnacentral:rRNA from 1 species